UACGUAGGGUGCAAGCGUUGUCCGGAAUUAUUGGGCGUAAAGAGCUCGUAGGCGGUCUGUCACGUCGGCUGUGAAAACCCCGGGGCUCAACCCCGGGCCUGCAGUCGAUACGGGCAGACUAGAGUGCGGUAGGGGAGACUGGAAUUCCUGGUGUAGCGGUGAAAAUGCGCAGAUAUCAGGAGGAACACCGGUGGCGAAGGCGGGUCUCUGGGCCGUAACUGACGCUGAGGAGCGAAAGCGUGGGGGAGCGAACAGG
rnacentral:rRNA from 1 species